rnacentral:rRNA from 1 species
UACGUAGGGAGCAAGCGUUAUUCGGAUUCACUGGGCGUAAAGGGUGCGCAGGUGGCCGUGUGUGUCAGAUGUGAAAUCCCGGGGCUUAACUCCGGAACUGCGUCUGAAACUACACGGCUAGAGCAUUGGAGAGGGUAGUGGAAUUCACGGUGUAGCAGUGAAAUGCGCAGAUAUCAGGAAGAACACCUAUGGCGAAGGCAGCUCUCUGGGGACGGUACUGACGCUGAGACGCGAAAGCGUGGGGAGCGAAACAGG